rnacentral:lncRNA from 1 species
GUGGAUUGCUUUCUUCCUCCUCACAUAUUUUUCCUCAGCUGGAGGGGAAGGCAUGUUUCUGGUUGAGAAGAUGGCAAGAGUGAGGUUGGCUCUGCCGUGGGAUCACGCCUAGAGCCCAGACUGCCAUCUUUCUUACGACAAAAAAUGGUGCGCUGACCGGGCCCUCCCCAAGUAAGGGCUCCACGCCCACCCUCUGGAGCCUGGUGACAUCACAAGACCGUGUGUUUUACAACGGAAGAGAGUCACGGAGACAAUCCCCCGUCAAUGGGCUGCCCGUGCUGGGAUUCCACGUAGAAGAUGGGCGAUCGACGGGUCCCCGUUUCCACCCGCAAAUGCUCUGUGGACACAUCAGCAUUACCUCUGAUCAUCUUCGUUCUUUCCCAGCUUUAUGGCUGGGGGGAGGCCCGAUCCCUGCCCCCGCCCGACCCUCCAGGACCGUAUCACCUGUCCUCUGGAGAUGUGGACUGGUACAACAACAGGAGGAGAGCUAAAUUUCUGGUUCCUCCUUCCAGGCUGCCUCUCGCAAAUACUCCUACACAGGAUUCUGAAUCACUUCCGGCAGCAGUAAAAUUAACUUCAACAAAUGAUGCCAUCCGCUUUGAAUUUGUUAAAACUCCUGAAGAAGUUCUGGAAAAGAAAAACUUGAAACCACCUUCCCCACAGGACACCCUAAAGACUAACAUUUUGGCCUGCUUGGUAGCCACAGGAUUCCUGCUGAUCAUAGUGAUGGUUUUCCAAAUUCUGAUUUUUUGUUACAUCAACAAACCGAUGAGAUGCCACACAUCUAGAAUUUGCAAAGGCAAUCAGUUGAAUUCAGAUUGUGAAAGUGGAGCAGAAAAACAGAUGGAGGCUAAUGCCAGCUCAAACAUGGGAGACAUUCCCCUGAAAGACUCCACACCACCUGCUUCUCCUACACAAUCGAGCGUCGCCUAUGGAGAAGCCCAAUACUCUCCUUGUGGCACAAGCUCUGGUGAAACCCCCGCAACAAGUCCUCGACCCCAGUCAGUUUAUGACUCCUCGCCUGGCAGCUGCAUCAGUGUGCUGGAACCUGGCGAUCUUGGAGACCAGCAGGGGGAAAGUGGCGCAGACAAAGGCAGACGGGUGGAAGAUGGAGAUUCCCCAUCUUGGAAAACAGGGCAGGGUAUUUCUGAGUAGGAAAAUUAAAGGAACGUUUCUCCCAGCUGCUCACCAUCAUCUGCCGAAGCAGCCGAGUUCGACACAUCACAAUGGAGAGGAGCACAAACCACCUAGAAAAUGCUAUCACGUACCUUGUCUUUCACCUCUUCCUUCCUCUUCCAGCCAGGAGGGCUGAUCGGGCUGUUUGACCUAAUUGUAGAUAUGAACCUCCUCCCAGUCAUUUUAUCCCCCUGUCCCAGGGAUGUGUGGACAUUUCUUGGAUGUCUGUCCCUGUGACUUGGCUGAGGAGAAAGGCUUUUCUCCAACCAGAAGGCCCCAGGCUUACCUUCCUUGUCAAGAGCUCUUUUAAAAAUAAAAACAAAAAGUUUUUCUACGAUACUUGCUCCCCUUUGUUUCAAAAUAUGUUUUGUGCUGAUUCAGAUGGGAGGCCAUUUCCAUAAUGCCAAAAAAGCCCUUUAUUCCAAUCAGCCCCCAUCACCCCUUACAGUGCAUCCCCAACUCAUCUUGGCAGCUUCUCUUUCAGUGGCUUUGGGGGGCUCCCAGAGACCCAUCCUUCCAGAAGUGCGUGUCCUCCUCUUCAACUGAAGCAACAAACUUCUCCCUAUCUAAAUAUCCUUUCAGGGACGGUUCCCCCUGACACAAGCACGAACGAAUUGCCCAUCACCCAUAUGGAAAUAACCCAGGUUUUCAGGGGUAAUUUACCCACAAUGGGUAAAUCACCCAGGUCAUACCCUUAAAUACCAGCCCCCCUUAAACAAAAAUGACCCCUGGUCGGCCCAUAAAUUCACUUUUUUUUUAAUUGUGACGCUGCAUAUUCAGAAGGAUCUCAUUAGGAAAUCCUACAAUGGGACCCAGCACUAGAGAAAAAAGACCCAAUCGAUUAAUCGUAUUUAUUGAGCCCUUACCAUGUGCUCAAUGCACUAA